rnacentral:rRNA from 1 species
UACGUAGGUGGCAAGCGUUGUCCGGAAUUAUUGGGCGUAAAGCGCGCGCAGGCGGUCCUUUAAGUCUGAUGUGAAAUCCCGUGGCUUAACCACGGGCGGUCAUUGGAAACUGGGGAACUUGAGUGCAGAAGAGAAGAGCGGAAUUCCACGUGUAGCGGUGAAAUGCGUAGAGAUGUGGAGGAACACCAGUGGCGAAGGCGGCUCUUUGGUCUGUAACUGACGCUGAGGCGCGAAAGCGUGGGGAGCGAACAGG